CCGCCUGUAGCUCAAUUGGUAGAGCAGUUGCCUCUUAAGCAAUUGGUUCCGCGUUCGAGUCGCGGCAGGCGGA
rnacentral:tRNA from 1 species